CCUACGGGAGGCAGCAGUAAGGAAUUUUAGACAAUGGGCGAAAGCCUGAUCUAGCAACGCCGCGUGGACGAUGAAGGCCUUCGGGUCGUAAAGUCCUUUUCUGUGGGAAGAUCGUGACGGUACCACAGGAAUAAGCAUCGGCUAACUACGUGCCAGCAGCCGCGGUAAUACGUAGGAUGCAAGCGUUGUCCGGAUUUAUUGGGCGUAAAGAGUGCGUAGGCGGCUUCUUAAGUGGGGCGUGAAAUCCCCCGGCUUAACCGGGGAGGGUGGUCCUAAACGGGGGGGCUGGAGGGUAGAAGAAGAGAGCGAAAUUCCCGGUGUAGUGGUAAAAUGCGUAGAUAUCGGGAGGAACCCCUGUGGCGACGGCGGCUCUCUAUGCUACUCCUGACGCUGAGGCACGAAAGCUAGGGGAGCAAACGGGAUUAGAUACCCUUGUAGU
rnacentral:rRNA from 1 species